rnacentral:rRNA from 1 species
GACGAACCGUCCUAACGUUGUUCGGAAUCACUGGGCUUAAAGGGCGCGUAGGCGGGUUCCCAAGUCGGUGGUGAAAUCUUUCGGCCCAACCGGAAAACAGCCGCCGAUACUGGGAGUCUUGAGGGAGGUAGGGGUCGAUGGAACUUCCGGUGGAGCGGUGAAAUGCGUAGAUAUCGGAAGGAACGCCGGUGGCGAAAGCGAUCGACUGGACCUUUUCUGACGCUGAGGCACGAAGGUCAGGGGAGCAAACGGG